rnacentral:rRNA from 1 species
AAAGGGCGCGUAGGCGGCUUGGCCAGUCAGGCGUGAAAUUCCUGGGCUUAACCUGGGGACUGCGCUUGAUACUGCCAGGCUUGAGGCCGAGAGAGGGUGGUGGAAUUCCCAGUGUAGAGGUGAAAUUCGUAGAUAUUGGGAAGAACACCGGUGGCGAAGGCGACCACCUGGCUCGGUACUGACGCUGAGGCGCGACAGCGUGGGGAGCAAACAGGAUUAGAUACCCCGGU